CCUACGGGAGGCAGCAGUGGGGAAUAUUGGACAAUGGGCGCAAGCCUGAUCCAGCAAUGCCGCGUGAGUGAUGAAGGCCUUCGGGUCGUAAAGCUCUUUUACCCGGGAUGAUAAUGACAGUACCGGGAGAAUAAGCUCCGGCUAACUCCGUGCCAGCAGCCGCGGUAAUACGGAGGGAGCUAGCGUUGUUCGGAAUUACUGGGCGUAAAGCGCACGUAGGCGGUUAUUCAAGUCAGAGGUGAAAGCCCGGGGCUCAACCCCGGAACUGCCUUUGAAACUAGAUGACUAGAAUCUUGGAGAGGUCAGUGGAAUUCCGAGUGUAGAGGUGAAAUUCGUAGAUAUUCGGAAGAACACCAGUGGCGAAGGCGACUGACUGGACAAGUAUUGACGCUGAGGUGCGAAAGCGUGGGAGCAAACAGGAUUAGAUACCCUGGUAGUCCACGCCGUAAACGACGAUAACUAGCUGUCCGGGUACUUGGUAUUUGGGUGGCGCAGCUAACGCAUUAAGUUAUCCGCCUGGGGAGUACGGUCGCAAGAUUAAAACUUAAAGGAAUUGACGG
rnacentral:rRNA from 1 species